GACCGCUGCCGCCUCCUCCUGCCGCUCCUGGUGCUGCUUGUGCGCUCCCUCAGUGCGGACCCGGUGCCUCUUUUGUGAAGCGGCAGCUGAGGAGACUCCGGCGCUCGCCAUGGCCGAAGAGAAACCCAAGGAAGGAGUCAAGACUGAGAACAACGAUCAUAUUAAUUUGAAGGUGGCGGGACAGGAUGGUUCUGUGGUGCAGUUUAAGAUUAAGAGGCAUACACCACUUAGUAAACUAAUGAAAGCCUAUUGUGAACGGCAGUUGGAAAUGGAGGAUGAAGAUACGAUUGAUGUGUUCCAGCAGCAGACUGGAGGUGUCUACUAAAAAGGGAGCCUGCUACUUUACUCCAGAAUUUUGUUAUAGACCAAGAAUACAUUCUCAAUUAGAAAGCCACAAUUUGGUCCCACCACAUCCUGACUACUACAGUAUAGUUUUCUCUCUUCUUUCAUUUCCCUGUCCCCAUUUCUUUAUUGUACAUAAAGUAACUGGUGUAUGUGCACACGCAUAGUGCUCUCUCUUUCUUUUCCUUUUUUAAACUAAAUGACCGAUGUUCUGUUCUGGUUGACAUGAGAUGGAGAUGGUCUGGGGAAAAAUACUGGGUUUGUGAAAAUACCCCCUUCUCCACUAGUGGCAUGCUCAUUCAGCUCUUAUCUUUAUAUUCCAGUAAGUUAUUUUGCUCUCAUUGUUUUAACAAAAGAACCCAACAACACCAAAUCCUUGCAUACCUUGUUCGAUUGGAGAAUUUUAAUGUUUUUCAUUUAUCAUUGUAAAACCAAGGACAAUUUUAUAACUUUUUUGUACGUAGCUGUUACAUGUAGGGCAAUCUGUCUUUAAGUAGGGAUAAAUUACUCUUGAACAAAAUGAUCCUAGAUAGUUUUCCCUUCAAGUCAAGCGUCUUGUUGUUUAAAUAAACUUCUUGUUUAAAAAAAAAAAAAAAAAAAAAAAAAA